AUCAGGAAGCCGGUGCGAUUCCGGCACGGUCCCGCCACUGUGACCGGGGAGCGGACCCCAGCAUGGCCACGGCUCGUGACGUACGGGCUGGAAGGCCGGGGCGAGCGGCGAUCCGGGAGUCAGGAGACUG
rnacentral:ncRNA from 2 species